AUCUCAGAUCAAGCAAGAGGACCCGCCGAAUUUAAGCAUAUAAUUAAGCGGAGGAAAAGAAACUAACCAGGAUUCCCCCAGUAAGGGCGACUGAAGCGGGAUGAGCUCAGGAUGUGAAUCUGUGUCUGUCAUGGACACCGAAUUGUGGUCUGUAGACCGUGGCGUUAUCCGCCGGACCAAGUCCCUUGGAAAAGGGCAGCAGAGAGGGUGACACUCCCGUCCGUCUGGUGGAAGGAGCCGCGAGUCAACGAGUCGAGUUGUUUGGGAUUGCAGCUCUAAGCGGGUGGUAAAUUCCAUCUAAAGCUGAAUAUUGGUGGGAGACCGAUAGCGUACAAGUACCGUGAGGGAAAGAUGCAAAGAACUUUGAAAAGAGAGUUAAAGAGUACCUGAAAUUGCUGAAAAGGAAGCGAAGGAAACCAGUGCCGGGCCGAUCAUACUUCCCUCGCCACCUGUGGCUUGGGCGCUGUGGCCGGUCCAUCUGUUUGACUUGGUUGGGUCCUCUGGAAGGGCGCCGUCAGAGUUGAUGUCGGUUGCCAGCAUUGGACCUGACCGAGGGAGACGAAAUGGUUUUCUUUACCCCGUCUUGUAACACGGACCAAGGAGUCUAACAUGUGUGCGAGUCGGCGGGUUUGAAAACCUGCGAGGCGCAAGGAAGCUGACGGGCGAGAUCCCCUCUCUUGGGGGGGUGCAUCGUCGACCGACCUUGAGCUUAUGCGAAGGGUUCGAGUGCGAGCACACCUGUUGGGACCCGAAAGAUGGUGA
rnacentral:rRNA from 1 species